AUGAAUAAUUGCUUGAAUAUGAGUGGUCCUUAUGGGACUCAAUUAUUCUGUGUUACUCUGUGGAAGAUUUGGGAUGCGAGGAAUCGUGUAAUCUUCAAUAGUGAUCCAUUCAACCCUAUUGAUGUUGCACAAAGAGUCAUAGAUUGGAUCCAGAAGUUUAAUUCCCACAAUCUAGGAUCAAAGUUUAAUAAGAAAAGCCUGAGACACGAGAUUAAGGAUGGAGGAACCAGAGGUGUGACCACGAUCCAUGUAGAUGCAUGA